AGAGUUUGAUCCUGGCUCAGGAUGAACGCCGUUGGUGUGCCUAAUACAUGCAAGUCGUACGCACUGGCCCAACUGAUUGAUGGUGCUUGCACCUGAUUGACGUUGGAUCACCAGUGAGUGGCGGACGGGUGAGUAACACGUAGGUAACCUGCCCCGGAGCGGGGGAUAACAUUUGGAAACAGAUGCUAAUACCGCAUAACAACAAAAGCCACAUGGCUUUUGUUUGAAAGAUGGCUUUGGCUAUCACUCUGGGAUGGACCUGCGGUGCAUUAGCUAGUUGGUAAGGUAACGGCUUACCAAGGCGAUGAUGCAUAGCCGAGUUGAGAGACUGAUCGGCCACAAUGGAACUGGGACACGGUCCAUACUCCUACGGGAGGCAGCAGUAGGGAAUCUUCCACAAUGGGCGCAAGCCUGAUGGAGCAACACCGCGUGAGUGAAGAAGGGUUUCGGCUCGUAAAGCUCUGUUGUUGGAGAAGAACGUGCGUGAGAGUAACUGUUCACGCAGUGACGGUAUCCAACCAGAAAGUCACGGCUAACUACGUGCCAGCAGCCGCGGUAAUACGUAGGUGGCAAGCGUUAUCCGGAUUUAUUGGGCGUAAAGCGAGCGCAGGCGGUUGUUUAGGUCUGAUGUGAAAGCCUUCGGCUUAACCGAAGAAGUGCAUCGGAAACCGGGCGACUUGAGUGCAGAAGAGGACAGUGGAACUCCAUGUGUAGCGGUGGAAUGCGUAGAUAUAUGGAAGAACACCAGUGGCGAAGGCGGCUGUCUGGUCUGCAACUGACGCUGAGGCUCGAAAGCAUGGGUAGCGAACAGGAUUAGAUACCCUGGUAGUCCAUGCCGUAAACGAUGAGUGAUAGGUGUUGGAGGGUUUUCGCCCCUCCAGUCCCGAAGCUAACGCAUUAGCACUCCGCCUGGGGAGUACGACGCAAAGGUGAAACUCAAAGGAAUUGACGGGGGCCCGCACAAGCGGUGGAGCAUGUGGUUUAAUUCGAAGCUACGCGAAGAACCUUACCAGGUCUUGACAUCUUGCGCUAACCUUAGAGAUAAGGCGUUCCCUUCGGGGACGCAAUGACAGGUGGUGCAUGGUCGUCGUCAGCUCGUGUCGUGAGAUGUUGGGUUAAGUCCCGCAACGAGCGCAACCCUUGUUACUAGUUGCCAGCAUUAAGUUGGGCACUCUAGUGAGACUGCCGGUGACAAACCGGAGGAAGGUGGGGACGACGUCAGAUCAUCAUGCCCCUUAUGACCUGGGCUACACACGUGCUACAAUGGACGGUACAACGAGUCGCAAGCUCGCGAGAGUAAGCUAAUCUCUUAAAGCCGUUCUCAGUUCGGACUGUAGGCUGCAACUCGCCUACACGAAGUCGGAAUCGCUAGUAAUCGCGGAUCAGCAUGCCGCGGUGAAUACGUUCCCGGGCCUUGCACACACCGCCCGUCA
rnacentral:rRNA from 1 species